GUCUCUUCGGAGACAUUCGAUAAAAUUGGAACGAUAUAGAGAAGAUUAGCAUGGCUCUUGCGCAAGAAUGACACCCACAAAUUGAGAAAUGGUCCAAAUUUUU
rnacentral:snRNA from 1 species